AACCAGUACCGUGAGGGAAAGGUGAAAAGCACUUCGAACAGAAGAGUGAAAUAGUCCCUGAACCCAUACGCCUACAAGCUGUCGGAGCCGCUUCGUGCGGUGACGGCGUGCCUUUUGCAUAAUGAGCCUACGAGUUACUCAUCACCAGCGAGGUUAAGUACUUCAGGUACGUAAGCCGAAGCGAAAGCGAGUCUGAAUAGGGCGUCAAGUUGGUGGUGGUAGACGCGAAACCUUAGUGAUCUACCCAUGGGCAGGGUGAAGGUUUGGUAACACAAACUGGAGGCCCGAACCGGUAAACGUUGAAAAGUUUUCGGAUGACCUGUGGGUAGGGGUGAAAGGCCAAUCAAACUGGGAAAUAGCUCGUACUCUCCGAAAUGCAUUUAGGUGCAGCCUCUGUUGUUUUGUUCUAGAGGUAGAGCUACUGAUUGGAUGCGAGGGCUUCACCGCCUAUCAAAUCCGGCCAAACUCCGAAUGCUAGAACAUGAAGACAGGGAGUGAGCCAGCGGGUGCUAAGGUCCGUUGACGAAAGAGGGAGAACUCAGACCAUCAGCUAAGGUCCCCAAUUGUAUGCUAAGUUGGAAUAAAAACGGGGUGGGACUGCUUAGACAGCUAGGAUGUUGGCUUGGAAGCAGCCAUUCAUUUAAAGAGUGCGUAACAGCUCACUAGUCGAGCGGUCCUGCAUGGAUAAUACGCGGGCAUAAGCAUAUAACCGAAGCUAUGGGAUUGUAGAUGAUACAAUCGGUAGGAGAGCAUUCCAUUCAGCAUAGAAGCAGUACCGUGAGGUAUUGUGGAGCGGAUGGAAAAGCAAAUGUAGGCAUAAGUAACGAUAAUGCGGGUGAGAACCCCGCACGCCGAAAGAUCAAGGAUUCCCCGGCAAUGUCAAUCAUCCGGGGGUAAGUCGGAUCCUAAGGGUAAGCCGAGUGGCGAUCCCGAUGGUAAACAGGUUAAUAUUCCUGUACUGAUCAUAACUGCGAUGCAGCGACGCAGAGGUGACACUGCUGCGUACUGACGGAAUAGUACGUUGAAACCCGUAUUCUUUGAUACCGGUAGUGAAGCACGCCGGUAGAGAUGAAAGGUGAUAGUACCGCAAUGCUUCGGUUGCGCGGAUAAUGCAGGUAAGCUGACUGCCAAGAAAACCUGCUAAGCUUCAGGUAAUGAUCAUCCGUACUGUAAACGGACACACGUGAUCAGGUAGAAAAUACUAAGGCGCUCGAGAGAUUCAUGGUUAAGGAACUAGGCAAAAUGGUCCUGUAACUUCGGGAUAAAGGACGCUCUUGUGAAAGAGCCGCAGAUAAUAGGCCCAGGCGACUGUUUACCAAAAACACAUGGCUAUGCUAAUUCGCAAGAAGAUGUAUAUGGCCUGACACCUGCCCGGUGCCGGAAGGUUAAGAGGAGAGCUCAUCAGCGAUGAGAAGGCUUGAAUUGAAGCCCCGGUAAACGGCGGCCGUAACUAUAACGGUCCUAAGGUAGCGAAAUUCCUUGUCGGGU
rnacentral:rRNA from 1 species